rnacentral:rRNA from 1 species
GGGUUGUGAGGUUAAGCGACUAAGCGUACACGGUGGAUGCCCUGGCAGUCAGAGGCGAUGAAGGACGUGCUAAUCUGCGAUAAGCGUCGGUAAGGUGAUAUGAACCGUUAUAACCGGCGAUUUCCGAAUGGGGAAACCCAGUGUGAUUCGUCACACUAUCAUUAACUGAAUCCAUAGGUUAAUGAGGCGAACCGGGGGAACUGAAACAUCUAAGUACCCCGAGGAAAAGAAAUCAACCGAGAUUCCCCCAGUAGCGGCGAGCGAACGGGGAGGAGCCCAGAGCCUGAAUCAGUGUGUGUGUUAGUGGAAGCGUCUGGAAAGGCGCGCGAUACAGGGUGACAGCCCCGUACACAAAAAUGCACAUGCUGUGAGCUCGAUGAGUAGGGCGGGACACGUGGUAUCCUGUCUGAAUAUGGGGGGACCAUCCUCCAAGGCUAAAUACUCCUGACUGACCGAUAGUGAACCAGUACCGUGAGGGAAAGGCGAAAAGAACCCCGGCGAGGGGAGUGAAAAAGAACCUGAAACCGUGUACGUACAAGCAGUGGGAGCACAGAGCAAUCUGUGUGACUGCGUACCUUUUGUAUAAUGGGUCAGCGACUUAUAUUCUGUAGCAAGGUUAACCGAAUAGGGGAGCCGAAGGGAAACCGAGUCUUAACUGGGCGUUAAGUUGCAGGGUAUAGACCCGAAACCCGGUGAUCUAGCCAUGGGCAGGUUGAAGGUUGGGUAACACUAACUGGAGGACCGAACCGACUAAUGUUGAAAAAUUAGCGGAUGACUUGUGGCUGGGGGUGAAAGGCCAAUCAAACCGGGAGAUAGCUGGUUCUCCCCGAAAGCUAUUUAGGUAGCGCCUCGUGAAUUCAUCUCCGGGGGUAGAGCACUGUUUCGGCAAGGGGGUCAUCCCGACUUACCAACCCGAUGCAAACUGCGAAUACCGGAGAAUGUUAUCACGGGAGACACACGGCGGGUGCUAACGUCCGUCGUGAAGAGGGAAACAACCCAGACCGCCAGCUAAGGUCCCAAAGUCAUGGUUAAGUGGGAAACGAUGUGGGAAGGCCCAGACAGCCAGGAUGUUGGCUUAGAAGCAGCCAUCAUUUAAAGAAAGCGUAAUAGCUCACUGGUCGAGUCGGCCUGCGCGGAAGAUGUAACGGGGCUAAACCAUGCACCGAAGCUGCGGCAGCGACGCUUAUGCGUUGUUGGGUAGGGGAGCGUUCUGUAAGCCUGCGAAGGUGUGCUGUGAGGCAUGCUGGAGGUAUCAGAAGUGCGAAUGCUGACAUAAGUAACGAUAAAGCGGGUGAAAAGCCCGCUCGCCGGAAGACCAAGGGUUCCUGUCCAACGUUAAUCGGGGCAGGGUGAGUCGACCCCUAAGGCGAGGCCGAAAGGCGUAGUCGAUGGGAAACAGGUUAAUAUUCCUGUACUUGGUGUUACUGCGAAGGGGGGACGGAGAAGGCUAUGUUGGCCGGGCGACGGUUGUCCCGGUUUAAGCGUGUAGGCUGGUUUUCCAGGCAAAUCCGGAAAAUCAAGGCUGAGGCGUGAUGACGAGGCACUACGGUGCUGAAGCAACAAAUGCCCUGCUUCCAGGAAAAGCCUCUAAGCAUCAGGUAACAUCAAAUCGUACCCCAAACCGACACAGGUGGUCAGGUAGAGAAUACCAAGGCGCUUGAGAGAACUCGGGUGAAGGAACUAGGCAAAAUGGUGCCGUAACUUCGGGAGAAGGCACGCUGAUAUGUAGGUGAAGCGACUUGCUCGUGGAGCUGAAAUCAGUCGAAGAUACCAGCUGGCUGCAACUGUUUAUUAAAAACACAGCACUGUGCAAACACGAAAGUGGACGUAUACGGUGUGACGCCUGCCCGGUGCCGGAAGGUUAAUUGAUGGGGUUAGCGCAAGCGAAGCUCUUGAUCGAAGCCCCGGUAAACGGCGGCCGUAACUAUAACGGUCCUAAGGUAGCGAAAUUCCUUGUCGGGUAAGUUCCGACCUGCACGAAUGGCGUAAUGAUGGCCAGGCUGUCUCCACCCGAGACUCAGUGAAAUUGAACUCGCUGUGAAGAUGCAGUGUACCCGCGGCAAGACGGAAAGACCCCGUGAACCUUUACUAUAGCUUGACACUGAACAUUGAGCCUUGAUGUGUAGGAUAGGUGGGAGGCUUUGAAGUGUGGACGCCAGUCUGCAUGGAGCCGACCUUGAAAUACCACCCUUUAAUGUUUGAUGUUCUAACGUUGACCCGUAAUCCGGGUUGCGGACAGUGUCUGGUGGGUAGUUUGACUGGGGCGGUCUCCUCCUAAAGAGUAACGGAGGAGCACGAAGGUUGGCUAAUCCUGGUCGGACAUCAGGAGGUUAGUGCAAUGGCAUAAGCCAGCUUGACUGCGAGCGUGACGGCGCGAGCAGGUGCGAAAGCAGGUCAUAGUGAUCCGGUGGUUCUGAAUGGAAGGGCCAUCGCUCAACGGAUAAAAGGUACUCCGGGGAUAACAGGCUGAUACCGCCCAAGAGUUCAUAUCGACGGCGGUGUUUGGCACCUCGAUGUCGGCUCAUCACAUCCUGGGGCUGAAGUAGGUCCCAAGGGUAUGGCUGUUCGCCAUUUAAAGUGGUACGCGAGCUGGGUUUAGAACGUCGUGAGACAGUUCGGUCCCUAUCUGCCGUGGGCGCUGGAGAACUGAGGGGGGCUGCUCCUAGUACGAGAGGACCGGAGUGGACGCAUCACUGGUGUUCGGGUUGUCAUGCCAAUGGCACUGCCCGGUAGCUAAAUGCGGAAGAGAUAAGUGCUGAAAGCAUCUAAGCACGAAACUUGCCCCGAGAUGAGUUCUCCCUGACUCCUUGAGAGUCCUGAAGGAACGUUGAAGACGACGACGUUGAUAGGCCGGGUGUGUAAGCGCAGCGAUGCGUUGAGCUAACCGGUACUAAUGAACCGUGAGGCUUAACCUUACAACGCCGAAGGUGUUU